ACGGAAGGACAGGCGGGCGCUGAGGAGGAAGAAGAAAAGAGCCGCUGAGGAGGAGCUCGUGAGGGCCGCUGCUUCGCCGCUCCCGUCGUCGUCAUGUCCCGCUUGGGAGCCACCCUGCUGCGGGCGGCGGGCCCAAGGGCGCGUUUCCUGGAGGGCCCAGGCCUCUUUCAGCGAUGGAAGGCUCCCUCAGAUGGACAACCUUGCAGACAAAUGGCCACCUCCAGCUUUGCAUGGCGGCAUAACAAAACUCUCUAUACUGUCAUAGCAAUUGGCCUCUUUGGAGUCGGAAAUGCGUUUUAUGGAUAUGAAAUUAUGAGAAGGGCUCGACAGCGCGAUGUGGAUCGUGCAGAGAGGUUCGAACGCAUGGAGGCCCAGAUGAAGAAACUUAAGUAUUAAGGAGUUUGACAGCAUCAGAAUUAAUAUCAACUAAAGCUACAGCCAAUUACUCAUCUCCCCCUGUUCUUCAAAGUGGUAAAUAAUUAAAUUAAUAUGGGGAAUGUAACUCCAGAAUACAGAAACAGCCGUGAAGAUCAGUUGAGCACUGCAGUCAAGGAUUUGGUGGCAGUCUCCUUACUUUAAACACAAAACUUUUCACAAUGACACAAUUAUAUGUAGAAGCAGUGUCAAAUAAUAAAAACAUGUGGAAAGAAUAUAGAA